CAUUACCGAGUUUACAACUCCCAAACCCCUGUGAACAUACCACUUGUUGCCUCGGCGGAUCAGCCCGCUCCCGGUAAAACGGGACGGCCCGCCAGAGGACCCCUAAACUCUGUUUCUAUAUGUAACUUCUGAGUAAAACCAUAAAUAAAUCAAAACUUUCAACAACGGAUCUCUUGGUUCUGGCAUCGAUGAAGAACGCAGCAAAAUGCGAUAAGUAAUGUGAAUUGCAGAAUUCAGUGAAUCAUCGAAUCUUUGAACGCACAUUGCGCCCGCCAGUAUUCUGGCGGGCAUGCCUGUUCGAGCGUCAUUUCAACCCUCAAGCACAGCUUGGUGUUGGGACUCGCGUUAAUUCGCGUUCCUCAAAUUGAUUGGCGGUCACGUCGAGCUUCCAUAGCGUAGUAGUAAAACCCUCGUUACUGGUAAUCGUCGCGGCCACGCCGUUAAACCCCAACUUCUGAAUGUUGACCUCGGAUCAGGUAGGAAUACCCGCUGAACUUAAGCAUAUCAAUAAGCGGAGGAAAAGAAACCAACAGGGAUUGCCCUAGUAACGGCGAGUGAAGCGGCAACAGCUCAAAUUUGAAAUCUGGCUCUCGGGCCCGAGUUGUAAUUUGUAGAGGAUACUUUUGAUGCGGUGCCUUCCGAGUUCCCUGGAACGGGACGCCAUAGAGGGUGAGAGCCCCGUCUGGUUGGAUGCCAAAUCUCUGUAAAGUUCCUUCAACGAGUCGAGUAGUUUGGGAAUGCUGCUCUAAAUGGGAGGUAUAUGUCUUCUAAAGCUAAAUACCGGCCAGAGACCGAUAGCGCACAAGUAGAGUGAUCGAAAGAUGAAAAGCACUUUGAAAAGAGAGUUAAAAAGUACGUGAAAUUGUUGAAAGGGAAGCGUUUAUGACCAGACUUGGGCUUGGUUAAUCAUCUGGGGUUCUCCCCAGUGCACUUUUCCAGUCCAGGCCAGCAUCAGUUUUCCCCGGGGGAUAAAGGCGGCGGGAAUGUGGCUCUCUUCGGGGAGUGUUAUAGCCCACCGUGUAAUACCCUGGGGGGGACUG
rnacentral:rRNA from 1 species